UGGGGAAUAUUGCGCAAUGGGCGAAAGCCUGACGCAGCAACGCCGCGUGAGGGAUGACGGCCUUCGGGUUGUAAACCUCUUUCAGCAGGGAAGAAGCGAAAGUGACGGUACCUGCAGAAGAAGCACCGGCUAACUACGUGCCAGCAGCCGCGGUAAUACGUAGGGUGCAAGCGUUGUCCGGAUUUAUUGGGCGUAAAGAGCUCGUAGGCGGUUAGUCACGUCGGAUGUGAAAACUCAGAGCUUAACUCUGAGCCUGCAUUCGAUACGGGCUGACUAGAGUGUUGUAGGGGAGACUGGAACUCCUGGUGUAGCGGUGAAAUGCGCAGAUAUCAGGAAGAACACCGGUGGCGAAGGCGGGUCUCUGGGCAACUACUGACGCUGAGGAGCGAAAGCGUGGGGAGCAAACAGG
rnacentral:rRNA from 2 species